UACGUAGGUGACAAGCGUUAUCCGGAUUUAUUGGGCGUAAAGCGCACGCAGGCGGUCUAUCAAGUCUGACGUGAAAUCUCUCGGCUUAACCGGGAGCGGUCGUUGGAAACUGAUGGACUUGAGGCGAUGAGAGGGACGCGGAAUUCCAGGUGUAGCGGUGAAAUGCGUAGAUAUCUGGAGGAACACCGGUGGCGAAGGCGGCGUCCUGGACCAAUACUGACACUGAAUAGCGAAAGCCAGGGGAGCAAACGGG
rnacentral:rRNA from 1 species